UCUUACUUUGGGGCUAACGUUUUACAUCCUAGGACCAUCAUUCCAGUUAUGAAAUAUGACAUUCCAAUUGUAAUAAGGAAUAUUUUCAACCUCUCUGCCCCUGGGACAAUGAUAUGUCGGCAGAUUGAAGAUGAAGAUGGAUAUAAACUAGACGCUCCUGUCAAAGGGUUUGCGACGAUUGACAAUUUGGCUCUUGUGAAUGUGGAAGGGUAAGUUGAUUGUAGAUAUUGUGCUACACAGUCAGUGCUUAUUAUGUUUCUUAUACAAACUUUGCGUUCUCUUUGCAGAACUGGAAUGGCUGGUGUUCCUGGUACUGCAAGUGCUAUCUUUUCUGCUGUCAAGGAAGUUGGAGCCAAUGUGAUUAUGAUUUCACAGGUCUGUGGAUACUCUAAUUCAGCUUUCUGGUACAUUUAUGGUUUUGAAUUCCCUUGUUAGUUGUGGGUUCUUAGUAGGAUUGCAUAAUGGCAGGCUAGUAGCGAGCAUUCUGUGUGCUUUGCUGUACCUGAGAAGGAAGUUAAAGCCGUUUCUGAAGCAUUGAACUCACGAUUUCGUCAAGCUUUAGCUGGUGGACGCCUUUCCCAGGUGCCCUAAAUCUCUGUGUAUUUUCAGAAGAUAGCAACUUGCUAUUCCUUCAACCUUCGUUGUAGCAUGUUCAGGGCCCUAUAGAAAGCAGCAGGAUCUUGUUUAUGCAUCACCUACUUUUCUCAAACUGUGGCUUUUCUUUUCAGAUUGAAAUUAUCCCUAAUUGUAGCAUCUUAGCAGCAGUUGGCCAGAAAAUGGCGAGCACCCCUGGCGUUUCUGCCACCUUUUUCAAUGCGCUGGCAAAGGUAAAUUAAGUGUAGUGUUUGUAGAACAUCCAUUUCUCUGCUAAGAAGCUUUGUUGAUACAUUGCUUCCCUAAAUACUUGCAGGCCAAUAUCAACAUCCGCGCUAUAGCUCAAGGUUGCUCCGAGUUCAACAUUACAGUAGUCGUCAAACGUGAAGACUGCAUUAGGGCAUUAAGAGCAGUGCACUCAAGAUUUUACCUCUCGAGAACCACAUUGGCAGUGGGAAUCAUAGGACCGGGUUUAAUCGGUGGAACCUUACUUGAUCAGAUUAGAGAUCAGGUGAGUAGCUGUGUGAGACUAUCGUGGCUACUUAUCAAGGUUCAAGCUAACUCAUCUUUCAAAAUAUUUUCACAGGCUGCAGUGCUAAAAGAAGAGUUUAAGAUUGACUUACGUGUUAUAGGGAUCACUGGCUCAAGUAAAAUGUUGCUGAGUGAAUCGUAAGUCAAUGAACUUGUUAGAGUGCUUGUAGGUGACUUGCCUUACUGCUUUUUCCUUACACAAUCAUAAUCUUCUAGGGGAGUCGACUUAUCAAGAUGGAGAGAACUUAUGAAGGAAGAGGGAGAGUCGGCUAACAUUGAGAAGUUCACCCAAUAUGUGAAGGGAAAUCAUUUCAUUCCAAACUCUGUUAUCGUUGAUUGUACGGCUGAUGCUGAUAUUGCAAGCAGUUACUACGACUGGUUGCUGAGAGGAAUUCAUGUGGUCACCCCGAACAAGAAGGCUAACUCAGGACCACUUGAUCAGGUAAGUGUUAGAUAUUUGAUUAAAUCACUGUUCAAUAGGAAGCUACAGAUCUUUUCUUGUUGAGGUUCAAUGGUUCGAUGAUCAGAGAGACUAGUUGGUAACACUCUCCCCUGUGAAUGCAGUAUCUAAAGAUAAGAGAUCUUCAAAGAAAAUCGUACACACAUUACUUCUAUGAAGCAACCGUUGGAGCUGGUCUUCCAAUUAUCAGCACUUUACGUGGUCUUCUCGAAACAGGGGAUAAAAUACUGCGCAUUGAGGGAAUUUUCAGGUAUCUUGGUACCACAACAAGUUGUUCAGAUACAAGAGAAUAUGCUGUCUUUGUCGGUUUUUUCACCUUCAACUAAACUCUUGCUUUGAUGACUUGCUGCAGUGGGACUUUAAGUUACCUUUUCAACAAUUUUGUGGGCAACAGAAGCUUCAGUGAUGUUGUAGCAGAAGCAAAGCAGGCAGGUUUCACAGAGCCAGAUCCACGAGAUGAUCUAUCUGGAACAGAUGUCGCCAGAAAAGUAGGGUUUCGUGUCCUCAAAUCAAGUCAAUGCACCUAUGUUGGACCAAUUAAAUAAUAGGGAAUUUUCUUGUGUAUGAUACUUCUUCAGGUGACGAUUCUUGCAAGAGAAUCAGGAUUAAAACUGGAUCUUGACAGCCUUCCAGUCCAGAGUCUUGUGCCAAAGCCUCUACAAGUAAGUCUCUGUAUAAUCACACAGUAGACCAAUGAGGACAAUCCUUUCGACGUAAUCUAUAUUCCAUUGUUCAUCACAGGCUUGUGCAUCAGCAGAAGAGUUCAUGCAAAAGCUACCUCAGUUUGACGAGGAAUUGUCCAAACAAAGACAAGAGGCUGAAGCAGCAGGAGAGGUAAGUAUUGCCUCCUAGCAAAACUCAUUUUAAAACACCAAAAUGCACCAUCUCGAAAAGAACUCAUUCCCGAAUGCGAUGUGUUGUGUCUGUUUUAUAGGUAUUGAGGUACGUAGGAGUUGUAGAUGCGGUAGGGAAAAAGGGAACAGUGGAGUUGAAACGGUACAAGAAAGAUCAUCCAUUUGCUCAGCUCUCGGGAGCUGAUAACAUCAUCGCUUUCACAACCAAGCGGUACAAAGAACAGCCCCUGAUUGUUCGUGGACCUGGUGCUGGUGCUCAAGUCACAGCAGGUGGAAUCUUCAGUGACAUUCUCCGCCUUGCUUUCUAUCUCGGCGCUCCAUCUUAAGUCGCACUUUGUUUCUUUUAGGAACAAAUCUAAUGAUCAAACAAUGUUUCUUAUAAGCUAGCAUCUGUUAUCUGCGUUUCAGAAUUUGAUUCUUAUAGAAGAAAUCAAACUUCAAUGGAAUAAAUCAUAAAACAUCCUUACCUUGGUUUUAAAAGCACACUUUUUGGGCCAUGCGCCAUUAUGGCUAUGAGCAAAACGCCUGAUGCCUCUUGGCAAGGUGACAUCCAUAAAGCGUUUGCCAUGGUGCACAAGGCGAUGCUUUAUAGUUUCUUGGUGCGUAAUAGUCUGUUAGUAUCUUGUUUGUCUUCUCCUCCUUCCUCACCUGGCAGCUAAGUAGCCUUCAGGAACAGUUGUUACAUUUGUGGAGGAUUGUCCUCUUCAGAAGCUUGUUUCUCUUCUUCGUUGCUAUUAUUGUUGUUGUUGGCUUGUUUUGAUGCAUUAGCUACUUUUUCCCAUUUCUUGAGAAUAUAUUGAAGCUUUAAGAUCUCUCUGACCCUGUUUGACUUCUUUGCCUCCAUGGGCGGAACAAAAGAACAAAUUGCCCUAUUCUUUGUGUUGGUAGUGAUGGAGAUAUGGUGUUCAAUUACAAUGAUCAUGAUGACAAUUGUAAGAUGCCCAAGGCUCUAACCAUUUUCUACCACAGAGCCCCCUAUGCGUUUAAAACACACAUAUCUUUAGGGGGAAAAUGAAUAGGAGGAGGUUUUGGCUAGAACUAGAAAUAAAAAGAUGGUUUUAUACAACAAAAACACACACACACUCCACAUAAUUUCAACCCAACCGAAACAAAAAUUUGGCUUCAGAAGCAUUUCUCAAUCUGAAACUUUGGACAAAAACUUGUUCUACUCUGCCUGAAGACUAUAAACUAAGGUUGAAACACUGUUUCCAAACCAAUCUGAGAUCCAAUGCAGUUUAACUUAAAGAUCAUUCUGUGGAGGAUCGGUUGCAUAAUGAUAUAAACAAUCUCAAAGCUAUGCUCCGUGCCAUUUACAUAGGUACAGAUGGUCUUCUGUGUAUAAAGUAAUUGAAUUUGAUUUGUGUAUGUUCUUCUAAAAUAUUUGUUCUCUUGUAUCUCUCUAGCUGGUCAUGCAACAGAAUCUUUCUCGGACUUCGUUGUGGGUCACGGAGAAUUGUGGUCUGCUCAGAUGUUAGCUGCUGUUGUGAGAAAGGUAUGACUGUCAUAUAUGAUAUGCUGCUUGUAAGUCCUAAGAGGGAUGAACUUCUAUUUAUCUUCUCAUCAUAUGCUUGUGUUUGUUUUGAUCAUAGAGUGGAUUGGACUGCACAUGGAUGGAUGCAAGGGAUGUCCUAGUUGUUGUUCCUAAUAGCUCUAGUCAAGUUGAUCCUGACUUUGCGGAAUCAGAAAAGAGAUUGGAAAAGUGGUUUUCUCAGAACUCGGCGGCAAAGAUUAUCAUCGCAACUGGAUUCAUAGCCAGUACACCGGAGAACAUUCCAACGACUCUCAAGAGGGAUGGGAGUGACUUCUCUGCAGCUAUAAUGGGUGCUCUGUUUAGAUCUCACCAACUCACAAUCUGGACAGAUGUUGAUGGUGUAUACAGUGCAGAUCCAAGAAAAGGUAUGUGGAAACCAUUGCGAUUUGCAAGAUAAGGACUAGUUUUUCAGCCGUGACACCCUGUGCUCCUUAGUUUCCUUUCUAUUGUUAUGCUGACAAAUAUGGUUAUCAUAUGUAGUUAGUGACGCUGUUAUACUGAAGACUCUUUCUUAUCAAGAGGCCUGGGAAAUGGUAAAUUGCAACCUCGUACACUUGUUUUUGAUGCCUAUAAUCAUUGUUUUACACCCUAACUUUCGUGUUAAUGUGCCUGUGCAGUCUUACUUUGGGGCUAACGUUUUACAUCCUAGGACCAUCAUUCCAGUUAUGAAAUAUGACAUUCCAAUUGUAAUAAGGAAUAUUUUCAACCUCUCUGCCCCUGGGACAAUGAUAUGUCGGCAGAUUGAAGAUGAAGAUGGAUAUAAACUAGACGCUCCUGUCAAAGGGUUUGCGACGAUUGACAAUUUGGCUCUUGUGAAUGUGGAAGG
rnacentral:lncRNA from 1 species